rnacentral:rRNA from 1 species
GGUGAACGCUGGCGGCAGGCCUAACACAUGCAAGUCGAGCGGACGCACCGUGAGCGCUUGCUUUUGAGGGAGGAGAGUGUCGGACGGGUGCGGCUUGCAUAGGCUACUACUGUUACGUGGGGGAUAACGUGGGGUAACUGCUGUUAAUAGAGCAUAUGAUGUACGGGUGUAUGCAGGGGUUUUUGGGACUUUGCGUGAUUGUAAGAGCCGACGUCGGCUCCGAUAAUUGACGGGGUAAAGGAUCACCUAGGCAACGAUACGUAGCCGCUCUGACAGGAUGGCCAGCCAGACGGUAACUGAGACACGUUCCAGACUCCUACAGGAGGCAGCAGUGGGGAAUAUUACGCAAUGGGCGCAAGCCUGAUACAGCCAUACCGCGUGAGUGAUGAAGGCCUUCGGCUCGGAAAGCGCUGUUGUUGGGAAAGAAGAACAGCAUUUUUAACCCCGACUGUUCUGACGGUACCCAAAGAAUAAGCCCCGGCUAACUUCGUG